GUAGGUGAACCUGCGGAAGGAUCAUUAUCGAAUGAAAUCAGAGUCGGUUGUCGCUGGCCUCUUCACUGAGGCAUGUGCACGCCUUCUCUAUUCAUCCACACACACCUGUGCACUUGUGAGACGGAUUGACCCUCUCGGGGGACGGUCCGUCUAUUUAUACAUAAACUCCAUUAUAAUAAAUCUGAAUGUAAUCUGACGUAACGCAUCUUUAAACUAAGUUUCAACAACGGAUCUCUUGGCUCUC
rnacentral:misc_RNA from 1 species